AACUUCAUGAUCUUCAUAGGCUCGUAUUCUUUUUCUAGUGGGCUGCCCACCACAAAAAUCUUGCACGUGCUCCUUGUUGUCUACUUCCUCAAUCCCAAAAGUUUCUCUAUCAAAAACACCAUCACAAUACUCACCAUCAAUAUCAAAGUCAUCAAGAUUCCCUUUACUCUCACUACUCACUGCCUCAAAACCAGAAGAACCUUCAGGUGCUUCUUCUACAUAAUCAUCAUCUUCAUCACUAUUCUCUACGUUCUUUCCACUAGAAGAAGUCUCAUUUUCCUCCAAACCAACAUCUGAAAUGGUCACUGCAACCCCAUCCUUCUCACCAUUAAAUUUUGACCCACUACAACUUUCUCCCAUCUCUAUACUCUGAUGACUUAACUUUAAAAUUAAAGUUUUGAGUUCACUCAUCAUACCUUGUAGUUGGGCUUCUUGACGGUGCUCCCGUUCCAAGAUCAUUGCCGCAACUUCUUUCUUCCAUUCUUUAAAACAAAUUCCUUCUGCCAUGGCCUUAGAAAAUUACAGAGAAAGAUGGAAAGAAAAUUGAGAAACAAGGACUGAUGGGAAAGAACAGAGAAGGGAAAACCCUAGAUCAAGAAAGAAGGAAGAUCAAGAAAGGAAAAACUAACAGGAGAACCCAUGGCCAAGGACCAUUAGCUCUGAUACCAAUUGAUGCAACCCAAGAGAAACUGAACCAAGGAAGGGGAGAAACACAGAAGAUUGAGAGAGAGAAUGAGAUCAGAAAUGAGAAAGACCGGAAUUCUUAUUCAUAUCACACACAUUACAAUAUUAUCGAAGAAUAUUUAUUUAUACAUUUCAUCUAUGUAACUGCUAUAUUCUGUUACAACUGAUUCCUAACAACUCUAACUAAUCCAACUCUUUCACUUUUAUUCUUUGUAUUGUAUCAAUACCUUCAGCUUGAAAAGUUUCUUGUCCUCAAGGAACUCUGAAGAAUGCAAAUAUGGCUUACUGGCAAAUUCCCACCCUUAGCUUCUUUGUUGAAAGGAAACCUAUUUUCUUCCUUUGUCUUUGCCUCAUUUCAUACUCAUUUUCCUUGAGAUUCCAGCACCCUCUUUUACAUGCAAUUGCAACAGGUAAAUCUUGUAAAUAACAAUCAUUUUCAGCAUUUGAUUCAUUUACAUCAAAUUCUUGAAGCUUCAAAGUUCGAACACCUGCUGCAAUGGUAAGUACCUUGUAGCUUAUGGUCUUUCCAGCUGCAAUGAAUGAAAGACUUGGCUCAAUGAUUGGCUCAUUAAUUUCUUCACUGGGCAUUCCCGUCUUGCCCCACAUGGAAUUUGCAAGAAUCUUCUCAACUUCAUGAUCUUCAUAGGCUC
rnacentral:misc_RNA from 1 species